CAGUAUGAGGUCGUCGACCCGAAACCAGGUGACCUACCCAUGUGCAGGGUGAAGGUGCGGUGAAACGCACUGGAGGCCCGAACCCACGUAUGUUGAAAAAUGCGGGGAUGACGUGUGGGUAGCGGUGAAAUUCCAAUCGAACCUGGAGAUAGCUGGUUCUCUCCGAAAUAGCUUUAGGGCUAGCCUCGGAUGAUGCAUCGUGGAGGUAGAGCGACUGUUUGGACGAGGGCCCCUUGCGGGGUACCGAAUCCUGAUAAACUCCGAAUGCCACAGAUGUUAAUCCGGGAGUCACACUGCGAGUGAUAAGAUCCGUAGUGGAAAGGGAAACAACCCAGACCGUCGGCUAAGGUCCCCAAAUCCUUGUUAAGUGGAAAAGGAUGUGGGGCUGCUUAGACAACUAGGAUGUUGGCUUAGAAGCAGCCAUCAUUUAAAGAGUGCGUAAUAGCUCACUAGUCGAGUGGCCCUGCGCCGAAAAUUUACCGGGGCUAAACAAGGUACCGAAGCCACGGAUAGAACCUUUGGUUCUAUGGUAGGAGAGCGUUCUAAUCAGCA
rnacentral:rRNA from 1 species